GUUGGUGGUCUGGUUAUCCAGUUUUGAUUUCUGGUUAUCUAAUUUUGAUGUCUAGUUAUCCAAUUUUAUUUUCUGAUUAUAUGAACCCAGUUCACCUGCAGGUUCAAUUUUCAGAUUUUCAUCUCUGGUUGCGUAGUAGCUGACUAUUAUUUAUAUGUAUAAUCUACCUAUAGGUUCAAUAAACUACUACAAUUCAUCGAUAAAAGUGAAUAAAAUACAAAAAUAUCAAU
rnacentral:lncRNA from 1 species